UUUUGUUUUUUUUUUUUUUGUUUGUUUGUUUUUUUGCAUUUGUGUUUGUCAAGAAAAGUAGAAAGGCUGAUGCUUCUUGCCUGUUUUUCCAACUCUUUUAAUGCUAUAAAAUGCACCCCAAUUUUAACUCAUUCUCUCUCCUAGGAUUUGUUAUACCCUGUUUACUCCCUUGAAGGUCCUCUAUCUCAUCAAAGCUUUAGAUUUUAAAAGCAUGAUUGUAGAUUUUUAUUUUCAAAGAGAUUUUGAUUUUGGAGAUAUUUUAAAAUUGGGAAUUGAACUCAGAUAGGCUUUACCAUUUGCCUAUUUUCUUAGAAGAAUAAAUGCUAUUUGCAAUAUAAGAGUUAGCUGCCAGAAACCUAAGAAAGUUAUGUUCAAAUUAUUUUUACAAAUAGAUGUUCACAUCACCUUUAAACAGUAGUAGUGGCUCAGAAAAAAUCAAGCAAAGUUAACAUCUUUUAAAAAAUACAAACCACAUUGCUUUACAGGAUGAGGUUGUGCUUAAUAACGUAUGCUUAAUUCAUUCAGAAACUACACGAUUUUUGUUGCUAUAUUUUGUUAGAAAGGAAGGAGAGACUGUUUCUACAGGUGUCAUACAAAAAUCAAUACUGAGCCAAGGAUUAUUGGAUCCCAUAGAACCACGGAGACUUGGCAGUGAAAUUCUUCCAAAGCAUUCCAUCCGUGCAGGCAGAUGGUGUUCCUAGGUUUGGAAAUAUAAAUCCCAUGGGAAGUCAGCUGAAGACCAUUUUAUGCAUCACUCAUCCUGUUAGAGCCCUG
rnacentral:sRNA from 1 species